rnacentral:rRNA from 1 species
UACGUAGGGCGCAAGCGUUGUCCGGAAUUAUUGGGCGUAAAGCGCGCGUAGGCGGCUACUUAAGUCGGAUGUGAAAGCCCUUGGCUCAACUGAGGAAGUGCACCCGAAACUGAGUGGCUAGAGUACGAAAGAGGGUCGCGGAAUUCCCGGUGUAGAGGUGAAAUUCGUAGAUAUCGGGAGGAACACCGGUGGCGAAGGCGGCGACCUGGGUCGAUACUGACGCUGAUGCGCGAAAGCGUGGGGAGCAAACAGG